GGGCGUGUGGCUCAGUUGGUAGAGCGUUCGCUUAGCAGCUUUCUUCGGAACCUGCGAAAGGUCCUGGGUUCGAUUCCCAGCUCGUCCA